CAGGAAGGGUCCCCUUUUCCCCGCUUGCCUCCUCCAGCAGCAGGAUGUGAGCCACUGAGUUACUGAAUACACAGACGGCCUCUGUGCAUCAGGUGCCAGACAUUUACAUGAAGUAUAGGAGAGUGAAUUAUCCCAAGAAUAUCCAUGCCAUUUAUCAUCAUCAUCAUCAUCAUCAUCAUCAUCAUCAUCAUCAUCAUCAAGUUACCUUUGCAGUAGAGAUUUUACUUAAUGUCCUGACUUACCUAGACCUCUAUUUCUAGAUAUGCCAGGCCUCACACUCAGAGAUAUAUCUGGCACUUCCUGUUACCUGUGAUGGGAAAAAAAAACAUGCAGCCACUUUGACUGCUCACUUUUUAUUCUUUACCUGAGAAAGUUUUCAUGGCCAUUAACAAUGGGCAGCCUGAGGCUAGUGUGCUUCAUCAUAAUACAGAGACACUAAAGUAUUUGUCUUCAUUCGAAGUACUAGGGGGUCUGGGUUGCCUCAGCAAUUAAACAGCCGGGUCAGUUAUUGGCAAACUCCCUUCACCAGCAAAGAACACACAUUGCAAUUACACCUCUCCAAUUGCAGCAGAAAAUACUGAUGGCAAGCAUUCCUCUGGAACUUUGAUCACCUCCUGAAGUAAAGAACCAUUCCAGUUCUUUGUGUGCCCUGCCAGAUGUGUGCAUGGGUCUUUCGAAGAAAAACCUCUCAUAAACUUCAGUGCUGAACCCUUUCCUACAGAAAGUUCACAUUGUAGGUAGGAUUCCUCUGGUGAACUGCCCUCUACAGCAGAGAACACUGAUCAGGAGGGAAUCUCUGGAACAUUCAUCCCUUUCUGAAACCAACUGUGACUCCAGUUCUUCGUUUGGCCUACUGUAAGUAUCCACACUUCUUGGGAAGAAAAGACUUAUACAAACACAAUCACUUACCCUAUUCCUGUCACAAGUCAUCAUGGGAAACCUCCUUCAACCCUCUUUGCGUGAGGUAAAUAAAUUAAGACAGUUUUCUCUACUCAAAUGUCUUAGAAACUACCUACCUAUACCAGGGGAGAGAGGCCUACAGAACACACAUUGUGGUCUCUCAGACCAUGGACGACUAUGAGCAACCAAGACCAAGACCAGGAGGUUAACAUCCCAUCCAAAAGCCUGGAGUAUUUGACAACCAAUAAAGACCAGAUGAAUUUGCCACCUGAACAACAGAUGACACUGUUUCUACCCAGAUUGAGUUUCAGAGACACAUAUAUGGACCAGGGUGAGAUUCCCUAACUCUGGACACAUAGACAGUCAGUAUUUUCAAGCAGGCCCUGAAGUAUCUACAGAAAUUAUGGGCACUGCAAGCUCCACAAAGGAGCAAAGACAGGGCAAGGAAGGAAAUGGGCCAUUCCUUUUCAGAUGAUAGAUAUGAUGAGAAACACAGUGAACAGUGAUCCUAUUCUAUCUGCUUUACAUCCAUUCAUCAGAAAAAGACCUAGGUCAUCUUUUGGCCCAGACCAGAGAAUGAUAAAAGACACUUGGAUAUGUCUCUCCUCUUGGAAGAGAAUGUGGAUUGCUGCCUAUUCUGUAAUGGAGUUGCUGAGAGGUCUUCUGGACCUGGUCCAAAGAAUGCCAUUGCAAAGACCACUGAAACUUAUGCAGUACCAACUGGACAAUCUUCCUCUGUUCAAUGUGGACUGGUACAUUCUCCCAUCUAAUCAAAAUUCUCUGAAACAUGCCCCAUCUACUGAACAGAUUUAAAACUUCAAAAUCUGUUUCUGGUUCUAGUUACACCUCUACACCUGUCCGUGGGAGGCAGAGAACUUACAAAUAUCUGGAAGAUGAACCCAUACGUGUCAGCUCUCCAGAACAGGGCCAUAUUUCAUAGGCAAUCUAUUAGCAUGUGUCUUUUUAUUAGUAUAUUAUGUCCACUGAUAUUAAAAGAUAAUAACCUG
rnacentral:lncRNA from 1 species